AGUUUCUCUCGUCAUCUCUCAACUUUCAAGCCUUUCUUGUUCCUGCAGUAAAAUAAAGACGAGAUUGAGAAGAAAAUCCCACAAAUUAUUUUUUUCCUCCCAUUUUAACAGUAACCGAGCAUCAAAAAUAUCUCCUGUCUUCAAUCAAACUCAUCAAUUUUAAAGAUUAUGUUUUACUGAUUAAAUUUGGUGGGUAUUUAACUAUUAGUGAUUGCAACGAUGAGACACGGUAUAAUUGAAAUGAAUAAGUUUUUGUUCACUUGUGCUGCAAUUUAAAAGAUUUAUUAUCAGAGAAGAUUUUGAGAAAAUUCGUUAAAUAUCUGAUCGCUGAUUAUUGAAGAUUGGAACGGUUUGGGUUUGGUUAUAGAAUUUUGCUUAUUAAUAUUGAGUGUUUGUUUCGAUUAAUGAAUCUUUUGAACAAAUCUGAUUUUUGUGGUUUUGCAAAUAUAAUUUGGUGGUGAUUUUUUGAGACCUUUGUUUGUAUCUUGAACUUAUUCUGAUUUGGUGACUGAAUUAUGUUUGUGUUGAUCUUCAUUGUUACUUAUAAGAAUCAAUGAGAUAGUUUCCAGUCAUCUUCAUCAUCUUCUUGACAUAACCACAUAUAAAAUUUCAGUACUCUGUUUUUUACAGUAAAAUUUGAUUUUCACUGCGGCAAAUUUGUUAGAAUUUAGGGAAACUAGGCAAAAUGCCCCAGAAUGAGGGGUCACCUUGCCAAAAUGCCCCGGUCAUUUUGAAAUAAGUCAAAAUGCCCCAUUCUGUUAACUUACCCGUUAAAGAGAGUUGAGUGGUCAACUAUGGCAUCUUGACCAGUCAACACUGUUAUGAAAUGUCACUUUUAGCCUUACUACUAGUUUACAACCUUAUUUCUCUUUGUGGUCGGGAUUCAUUCACGUUCUGAAUCCUUAAUGUAAUGUCACAGACGGAGAGGUAGAGAUCGAGAGAGGGAGGAGCGAACUAAUUGCAGAGAAAGAGUUAUAUCGAGAGAGAAAUGUGGAACGAGAGAUGUUAUCGCGAGAAAAGUGAAGGACGCGGAAGAGAUUGAAGCCCUAAGUCUUAAAGAAUGAGGAGAAUAAUUCGCUGUAUAUGAUGUUUCACCCUUAAUUGGGUGGUAAUUUCGUGUGUACCAAUGGAUGAGGGUUUGGCUCUCCCAAAGUUGUUGUUUUGAAUGGAGGCUUCUAUGGAUUUUCUACAGUUGUUUAGCCGUGACUUAUCGUUGAAAAUUUUCUCGUAUUUGUAUGAACCAGCUGUUUAGCCGUGACUUAUCGUUGAAAAUUUUCUCGUAUUUGUGUGAACCAGCUGAUGUGGUUUGUGCUAGUUCUGUUUCACACUCUUGGCGCAAAUUUGAACGGGUAUUGGAAAUGGAGAUUUAUGUGUAAGUGAUAUGAGUGGCUAGUACGCAGUGGUAAUGUUCCAUCCAUCGUUUUUGGCCGCCUCUGCAAUCUAUGCAGCACAGUGCACCCUGAACAAGACCCCACUCUGGGACAAAACUCUUGAGAUUCAUACAUGUUACACUGGAUCUCAGUUAAUUGAAUUUGCCAAGCUAUUGGUGAGCUUCCAUGCUGGGGUAGAUGAAGAUAAGCUGAGGGUGGUGUUCAACAAAUGCUCAAGUCCUAAACGUAGUGUCGUUGCUUGCCCCAGCCAAAAGGCUUUUGGCUUCAUGAUACAUCAAUGGAGAAUAUAACUGAAUUAUUGAUCAUGUAUGCUUGACAGAUUUUAAUGUAUAUAUUCUUAACUGUGUUAGAUCUCUUUUCUACAGUAUAUUCUAUAUAUACUUAUUAAUCUAGUUUACUGUAAAUGAUUGAUCAUUUGUAUAAUGACCAGUGAAUUCAAUGAGCUCAAGUAAUUUUGUUCUCCUUUAA